GAUUGGCUCGCGUGACAUUAGCUAGAUGGUAAGGUAACGGCUUACCAUGGCUACGAUGUCUAGGGGUUCUGAGAGGAAGAUCCCCCACACUGGAACUGAGACACGGUCCAGACUCCUACGGGAGGCAGCAGUGAGGAAUAUUGGACAAUGGAUGGAAAUCUGAUCCAGCCAUGCCGCGUGCAGGAAGACGGCCCUAUGGGUUGUAAACUGCUUUUAUAUGGGAGCAAUAAGGCCUACGUGUAGGUUGAUGAGAGUACCAUAUGAAUAAGCACCGGCUAACUCCGUGCCAGCAGCCGCGGUAAUACGGAGGGUGCAAGCGUUAUCCGGAUUUAUUGGGUUUAAAGGGUGCGUAGGCGGUUUGAUAAGUCAGCGGUGAAAUAUUUCAGCUUAACUGGAAGGGUGCCGUUGAUACUGUCAGGCUUGAAUUUAGUUGCUGUGGGUGGAAUGUGUGGUGUAGCGGUGAAAUGCAUAGAUAUCACACAGAAUAUCGAUUGCGAAGGCAGCUCACAAAGCUAAAAUUGACGCUGAUGCACGAAAGUGUGGGGAUCAAACAGGAUUAGAUACCCUGGUAGUCCACACUGUAAA
rnacentral:rRNA from 1 species